UGACAUUGUGGUGCGAAAUAUAUCAACGC
rnacentral:sRNA from 1 species